ACUCCUACGGGAGGCAGCAGUGGGGAAUAUUGCACAAUGGGGGAAACCCUGAUGCAGCCAUGCCGCGUGUGUGAAGAAGGCCUUCGGUUGUAAAGCACUUUCAGUAGGGAGGAAGGUAGUGUAGUUAACACCUGCAUUAUUUGACGUUACCUACAGAAGAAGCACCGGCUAACUCCGUGCCAGCAGCCGCGGUAAUACGGAGGGUGCGAGCGUUAAUCGGAAUUACUGGGCGUAAAGCGCAUGCAGGCGGCCUGUUAAGUCAGAUGUGAAAGCCCGGGGCUUAACCUCGGAAUUGCAUUUGAAACUGGCAGGCUAGAGUCUUGUAGAGGGGGUAGGAAUUUCAGGUGUAGCGGUGAAAUGCGUAGAGAUCUG
rnacentral:rRNA from 1 species